GAUGAACGCUGGCGGCGUGCCUAAUACAUGCAAGUCGAGCGAACGGACGAGAAGCUUGCUUCUCUGAUGUUAGCGGCGGACGGGUGAGUAACACGUGGAUAACCUACCUAUAAGACUGGGAUAACUUCGGGAAACCGGAGCUAAUACCGGAUGAUAUUUUGAACCGCAUGGUUCAAAAGUGAAAGACGGUCUUGCUGUCACUUCUAGAUGGAUCCGCGCUGCAUUAGCUAGUUGGUAAGGUAACGGCUUACCAAGGCAACGAUGCAUAGCCGACCUGAGAGGGUGAUAGGCCACACUGGAACUGAGACACGGUCCAGACGCCUACGGGAGGCAGCAGUAGGGAAUCUGCCGCAAUGGGCGAAAGCCUGACGGAGCAACGCCGCGUGAGUGAUGAAGGUCUUCGGAGCGUAAAACUCUGUUAUUAGGGAAGAACAGAUGUGUAAGUAACUGUGCACAUCUUGACGGUACCUAAUCAGAAAGCCACGGCUAACUACGUG
rnacentral:rRNA from 1 species